AUAUUGCACAAUGGGGGAAACCCUGAUGCAGCGAUGCCGCGUGAAGGAAGAAGUAUCUCGGUAUGUAAACUUCUAUCAGCAGGGAAGAAAAUGACGGUACCUGACUAAGAAGCACCGGCUAAAUACGUGCCAGCAGCCGCGGUAAUACGUAUGGUGCAAGCGUUAUCCGGAUUUACUGGGUGUAAAGGGAGCGUAGACGGAUAGGCAAGUCUGGAGUGAAAGCCCGGGGCCCAACCCCGGGACUGCUUUGGAAACUGUUUAUCUAGAGUGCUGGAGAGGUAAGUGGAAUUCCUAGUGUAGCGGUGAAAGGCGUAGAUAUUAGGAGGAACACCAGUGGCGAAGGCGGCUUACUGGACAGUAACUGACGUUGAGGCUCGAAAGCGUGGGGAGCAAACA
rnacentral:rRNA from 1 species